rnacentral:rRNA from 1 species
UUGGAGGGCAAGUCUGGUGCCAGCAGCCGCGGUAAUUCCAGCUCCAAUAGCGUAUAUUAAAGUUGUUGCAGUUAAAAAGCUCGUAGUUGAAUUUCGGGAUUGACUCGAUGGUCGUGCCUUAAGGGGUAUGAACUGUCGUUGUUGAUUUCUCACCUUCUGGAGAAGCUCGAUGUCCUUAAUUGGAUGUCUUGUGGAACCAGGACCUUUACCUUGAAAAAAUUAGAGUGUUUAAAGCAGGCAUUUUGCUCGAAUACAUUAGCAUGGAAUAAUAGAAUAGGACGGCAUGGUUCUAUUUUGUUGGUUUCUAGGAUCACCGUAAUGAUUAAUAGGGAUAGUUGGGGGCAUUAGUAUUCAAUUGUCAGAGGUGAAAUUCUUGGACUUAUUGAAGACUAACUACUGCGAAAGCAUUUGCCAAGGAUGUUUUCAUUAAUCAAGAACGAAAGUUAGGGGAUCGAAGACGAUCAGAUACCGUCGUAUUCUUAACCAUAAACUAUGCCGACUAGGAAUCAGACGAUGUUAAUUUUUUAAUGACUCGUUCGGCGCCUUACGGGAAAC